AUACGUAGGGUGCAAGCGUUAAUCGGAAUUACUGGGCGUAAAGCGCGCGUAGGUGGUUCAGCAAGUUGGAUGUGAAAGCCCCGGGCUCAACCUGGGAACUGCAUCCAAAACUACUGAGCUAGAGUACGGUAGAGGGUGGUGGAAUUUCCUGUGUAGCGGUGAAAUGCGUAGAUAUAGGAAGGAACACCAGUGGCGAAGGCGACCCCCUGGACUAAUGCAGACACUGAGUGGCGAAAGGUUGGGGAGCAAACAGGAUUAGAUACCCUGGUAGUCCACGCCGUAAACGAUGUCAACUAGUUUUUGGGUUCCUUGAGAACUUAGUAACGAAGCUAACGCGAUAAGUUGACCGCCUGGGGAGUACGGCCGCAAGGUUAAAACUCAAAUGAAUUGACGGGG
rnacentral:rRNA from 1 species